UUACACAUGCAAGUCGAGCGGUAACAGGGGGUGCUUGCACCCCGCUGACGAGCGGCGGACGGGUGAGUAAUGCAUAGGAAUCUGCCCAGUAGUGGGGGAUAGCCCGGGGAAACCCGGAUUAAUACCGCAUACGUCCUUCGGGGGAAAGCAGGGGAUCUUCGGACCUUGCGCUAUUGGAUGAGCCUAUGUCGGAUUAGCUAGUUGGUGGGGUAAAGGCCUACCAAGGCGACGAUCCGUAGCUGGUCUGAGAGGAUGAUCAGCCACAUCGGGACUGAGACACGGCCCGAACUCCUACGGGAGGCAGCAGUGGGGAAUAUUGGACAAUGGGGGCAACCCUGAUCCAGCCAUGCCGCGUGUGUGAAGAAGGCUUUCGGGUUGUAAAGCACUUUCAGUGAGGAGGAAAACCUUCUGGUUAAUACCCAUGAGGCUUGACGUUACUCACAGAAGAAGCACCGGCUAACUCCGUGCCAGCAGCCGCGGUAAUACGGAGGGUGCAAGCGUUAAUCGGAAUUACUGGGCGUAAAGCGCGCGUAGGUGGUUUGAUAAGCGAGAUGUGAAAGCCCCGGGCUUAACCUGGGAACGGCAUUUCGAACUGUCAGGCUAGAGUGUG
rnacentral:rRNA from 1 species